GACAGAGGUGCCGAGCGUUAGGCGGAAUCACUGGGCUUAAAGCGUGUGUAGGCGGAUCGUUAAGUGCCUUGUGAAAUCCCACGGCUCAACCGUGGAACUGCUUGGCAUACUGGCGAUCUUGAGCCACUUAGGGGCAACCGGAACAAACGGUGGAGCGGUGAAAUGCGUAGAUAUCGGGAGGAACACCUGUGGCGAAAGCGGCUCACUGGACCACAACUGACGCUGAGGCGCGAAAGCUAGGGGAGCAAACAGG
rnacentral:rRNA from 1 species